rnacentral:rRNA from 1 species
CCUACGGGAGGCAGCAGUGAGGAGUUUUCUGCAAUGGGCGAAAGCCUGACAGAGCAAUACCGCGUGAAGGAUGAAGGCCUACGGGUUGUAAACUUCUUUUCUCAAGGAGGAAGAUCUGACGUUACUUGAGGAAUAAGCAUCGGCUAACCCUGUGCCAGCAGCCGCGGUAAUACAGGGGAUGCAAGUGUUAUCCGGAAUUAUUGGGCGUAAAGCGUCUGCAGGUUGAUAUCUAAGUCUUUUGUUAAAUCUCCAGGCUUAACCUGGAAUCUGCAAAGGAAACUAUUUAUCUUGAGUAUGGUAGGGGUAAAGGGAAUUUCCAGUGGAGCGGUGAAAUGCGUAGAUAUUGGAAAGAACACCAACAGCGAAGGCACUUUACUGGGCCAGUACUGACACUCAGAGACGAAAGCUAGGGGAGCAAACGGGAUUAGAUACCCCGGUAGUCCUAGCUGUAAACGAUGGAUACUAGAUGUUGUGGAUUUCGGUCUGCAGUGUCGUAGCUAACGCGUUAAGUAUCCCGCCUGGGAAGUAUGCUCGCAAGAGUGAAACUCAAAAGUAGAAGUUGACGGNGUAGAGACGUGACCGAAGGCCACGACGGAGGGUAGAGG